CGUGGGGACGUGCCUUUGCUACGGAAUAGUCCCGGGAAACUGGGUUUAAUACCGUAUACGCCCUUCGGGGGAAAGAAUUUAUCGGCAAAGGAUCAACCCGCGUUGGAUUAGGUAGUUGGUGGGGUAAUGGCCUACCAAGCCGACGAUCCAUAGCUGGUUUGAGAGGAUGAUCAGCACACUGGGACUGAGACACGGCCCAGACUCCUACGGGAGGCAGCAGUGGGGAAUCUUAGACAAUGGGGGCAACCCUGAUCUAGCCAUGCCGCGUGAACGAUGAAGGCCUUAGGGUUGUAAAGUUCUUUCAGCUGGGAAGAUAAUGACGGUACCAGCAGAAGAAGCCCCGGCUAACUCCGUGCCAGCAGCCGCGGUAAUACGGAGGGGGCUAGCGUUGUUCGGAAUUACUGGGCGUAAAGCGCACGUAGGCGGACUAUUAAGUCAGGGGUGAAAUCCCGGGGCUCAACCCCGGAACUGCCUCUGAUACUGGUAGUCUUGAGUUCGAGAGAGGUGAGUGGAAUUCCGAG
rnacentral:rRNA from 1 species